rnacentral:misc_RNA from 1 species
UAAUAAGUGUUUUUAUGGCACUUUUUUAAAUCCAUAUCCACACCUUGUGUGCAAUGUCAGUCGAUCUUCUUCAUGGAGAUCGACCCAAACAUCAACCUUUAUCUUUUAACUCUUUUGUCUGAAAAAAUAUUAUGAAUAAAACAAUUCAAAAUA